UCCGGUUCCCGUACGAUUACCGACGUUAAGCAACGUCGAGCCUGGUCAGUACUUAUAUCGGUCACCGCGUGGGAAUAUCUUG